rnacentral:rRNA from 1 species
CUGAAAGCAUCUAAGCGUGAAGCCCCCCUCAAGAUGAGAUUUCCCAAUUAGUAAGACCCCUUGAAGACGACGAGGUAGAUAGGUUGGAGGUGGAAGUGCAGCAAUGCAUGGAGCUGACCAAUACUAAUCGGUCGAGGGCUUAUCCUAAUAU